AACAGGCCAGCAGUUUGGGAUGCCAGGCUGGCUUGGUCUCUCGGUUUCUGGAGUCACCUGAAUGACUUGACUCAUCUCCUGGCUGAGGGCUUGGCUUCUCACUUCUGAGACACCCCAUUCCCAAGGCAAAUUGCUGUCUUGCCUCUCUCCUUACAUUCAUUUACAUCCUCUGUUUUCAGGCUGCCUGCAGGAACUGAAGCUUCUAGACAAAGAGACCUGGGUUUAAUCCUUGCAGACUUUAGCUACAUUGUCUAACCUGUUGGGACCUCAGUCUCCUCAUCUUUGAAAUGGGCAUGCCAAUAUCCAACUCGUCACGAGGACUCAUGGGACGAUUGCCCAGCAGGCACUCAGAAAGCUGCCACCAUUGCGACUAGUAUCAUUCGGAGGCUGCCACGCUGGAUCCUGCUGGCCACAGGCCCUGACAAAACUGUUCCUUUUCUGCAAAUGUCUUUCCCAGGUCUUUUCCCCUCUUCUUCAUGUGCUUUGCCACCUUGCACCUGCUUGCCCGCUUGCUCAGUCACGUCCCCCUCGUCGGCCACGUUCUCCACGAAGCUGCGUCAGCCUCCCAAGAUGCAGAGUGAAAUGCAAUGGCUGGAGCCCCAGCAGUUACCGCGGACCAUGAGGUGACCUUAGGCAUGAAACCAGUGCGGCACAGAACAACAGAGAGAAGGAACCUGAUUCAUCGACAUUCUGGGGCACCAUACCAGCCCAGACAGCUCCUCAGAAUGUCUUGGACACAACAGAGAAGUAAACGUCUAUGCUGCUUAAACUACUGUUAUUUUUUUUUUUUUUCUAUUACUCAUAAUUAGACAUAAUCUAACGAAUACAAGUCUCUAAUGAAGGUGCCCUUUAGAGGCCACAUAGAUUAGUCAAGAGCUCAGAACGUAAAUCCAGAUGCACUUGCUAAGGGUAUGACCUUAUACAAGCAACGUCACCAUCUGGAAUCUCAAUUUACUCAUCUGUAAAGUGGGGUUAGUAACAGCAUUUAUCCUCCUCCUUGGCGCUCCCUACAGAGGUGGCAGCUAUCUCUUCCUCAGCAUCAUGGCUGUCCUCAGAUCUCUUGUGAAGCCCAAGAUGGUCAAAAAGAGAACUAAGCAGCACAUCCAGCACCAGUCAGACUGAUAUGUCAAAACUGGGUGUAACUGGCAGGGACCCAGAGGUAUUGACAACAGGGUUAGUAGAAGGUUCAAAGGCCAGAUCUUGAUGCCUAGCACUGGUUAUUGGAGCAGAAAAAAAACAAAGCACAUGUUUCCCAGUGGCUCCUGGGAGUUCCUGGUCCACAACGUCAAGGAGCUGGAAGUGCUGCUGAUUUGCAAAAAAUCUUACUGUGCUGAGAUGGCUCACGAUGUUUCCUCCACGAACUGCAAAGCCAUCAUGGAAAGAUUCGCUCAGCUGGCCAUCAGAGUCACCAACUCCAAUGCCAGGCUGCGCAGCAAAGAAAAUGUGUAGACAGCUCAUGUGUAUGUUUUGUGUUUAAAUAAAGCUGUAAAAACUGC